rnacentral:rRNA from 1 species
CCCUUAGAUGUCCUGGGCUGCACGCGCGCUACACUGAUGUGUCCAGUAAGCACCUAACCUAUUCCGAGAGGAGCGGGUAACCUUAGCAAAGCACAUCGUGAUGGGGAUAGAUUAUUGCAAUUAUUAGUCUUGAACGAGGAAUUCCUAGUAAGCACAAGUCAUCAGCUUGUGUUGAUUACGUCCCUACCCUUUGUACACACCGCCCGUCGCUCCUACCGAUUGAAUGUUCCGGUGAGCUCUUCGGACUGCGCGGUCUGCAGUUUCUGCGUUCCGUGCGGAAAGUUGUGCAAACCUUAACAUUUAGAGGAAGGAGAAGUCGUAACA